rnacentral:rRNA from 1 species
GAUAAACGCUGGCGGCGUGCUUUAUGCAUGCAAGUCGAACGGUCUGAUGUUCCAAGCUUGCUUGGGAUGCCAGAUAGUGGCGAACGGGUGAGUAACGCGUAAGUAACCUGCCCCUAAGUAAGGAAUAACUCUAAGAAAUUGGAGCUAAUACUUUAGUGUUGAUGGGGGUAAUGCUCCAUCAGUAAAGCCUUAGGGCGCUUAGGGGGGGGCUUGUGUCCGAUUAGCUAGUUGGUAGGGUAAUGGCUUACCAAGGCUAUGAUCGGUAGCUGGUCUGAGAGGAUGGUCAGCCACAUUGGGACUGAGACACGGCCCAGACUCCUACGGGAGGCAGCAGCAAGGAAUUUUGUGCAAUGGGCGAAAGCCUGACACAGCGAUGUCGCGUGGGGGAUGAAGGCCUUCGGGUUGUAAACUCCUUUUCUCAGGGAAGAAUAAUGACGGUACCUGAGGAAUAAGUCUCGGCUAACUACGUGCCAGCAGCCGCGGUAAUACGUAGGAGGCAAGCGUUAUCCGGAUUUAUUGGGCGUAGAGCGGGCGUAGGCGGUUCUUCAAGUCGGAUGUAAAAUCUCCCGGCUUAACUGGGAGGGACCAUUCGAUACUGUUGGGCUAGAGGGCAGCAGGGGGAGGUAGAAUUCCCGGUGUAGUGGUGAAAUGCGUAGAUAUCGGGAGGAAUACCAGUAGCGAAGGCGGCCUCCUGGGCUGUUGCUGACGCUGAGGCCCGAAAGCGUGGGGAGCGAACAGGAUUAGAUACCCUGGUAGUCCACGCCGUAAACUAUGGACACUAGGUAUGGGGAGUAUCGACCCUCUCUGUGCCGAAGCUAACGCAUUAAGUGUCCCGCCUGGGGACACGGCCGCAAGGCU